rnacentral:other from 1 species
AUAACCCUGCCUUGUACGCGGACCGCAGCACAAUAACCCUACUACAUGAUAAAUUAGGGAGCUUAGCUCCAAAGCCAGAUUGCAGACCUCCCCGCUUUGCGGGAAGAAGGGAGCGUGAAAGCUUUGGGCGGCGCCCACCUGCUGACUCUAGUAGCAGGUUAUCCUUGCUGCAAUACGGCUUGGCGGGGCAAGA